GGCAGUUCGUUUACAUUGUGAUGGGUAUGUCAUGCAGCAAGAGAUGUGAGUGUUAGGCUUGAAGAUCAAAGACAAAACUGAGCCCUCUUUUGCUAUGUUACAGCCUACAAAUACAAGAAAAAAUCAUUAUCUAUUAUUCAGUGUUAUUUUUCCUUUUUCUAUUCCUCUAUUGUGUUGACCCCCCUCUUCUUCUCUUCAUCAAUGCCAAGAGCCAGUAACCACUACCGUGGGACGGGGAGCACUCAACCACAGAAAUUCUUGCCUGAAUCUUGCAAUGGAGAUAGUGUCAAUAAUGGAGUUGAAGUUUUCCUCUAUUGUCUAUGAAGAAGACACGGGGAUGACAGUGAAUCAUCGAGUAAUAACCAAGAUCAUCUAGAUGUAUGAACCUGCCUCAUUGUGGCUGUGCGGAGACAUUGAUGAUGAUGAGUCUCUCAUGUCACCAUGAGUUCCACCUCGGAGAAUAUUAGGCAAAGUAGUGGCUCAAACCGGCAGGAUUAGGAGCUGAAGGAGUGAGUGGGUAAAGUCGAUGAGUGAAAAGGCAUCUUCACAAGCAGCAACUCCACCAUCACAUUUAGCAGCAUUCGGGUAGAACC